rnacentral:rRNA from 1 species
GCAUUAAUCCCCCCAGGGGAACCUGGCCCUUAAUUCGAUGAUCCACGAAUCUCUUACCUUCUCUAGUUUUCGGGUAGCUAAAUAAAAGUGCCUGAUUGUCAGCUUGUAUACCGCCGUUUCUUAGCUUGUAUCGCGAGAGGACAUAAACAGGCACCCCAGUGGUUCUCAGUAGAAGGAAUUAACUGACAAUUCAGGUAAACGUGCAGCUUAUGGGAAGGGGGUGCUGGGUUACAAUUGGGGUUUGGAAUGGCGUGGUUACCUUAAGGGUAAGACAAAAGAGUACUUGGAAGUAAUGGUUUUGGGCAAUGAAGCCGUGAAUGGUGCUCUAGUGUGUGU